GAUAGUGAGGCCGAUAUCAUAUGGUUAGGAAAAUAAAGAUCGUCUGAAUUACAUGCCGAAGAUCAAUAAUUACGAAUUUGACUAUAGAUUUCUGAGCAAAGGUGUUGUGAAUGAAUUGAUUAAUUUAAUGAGACCAUAUUUGAGUGUAACGUCAAAAAGGUAAGAUAAAUUUUAACCAUAAAAGUACUCGUUAUUACAACUUAUAUUUGUUUAUAGCAAUAGCAAAAUUAUACCUAAUUUUUGUUGUGUUACAAAAUCACACUCAAUAGGAAUUCUAUAAUACUGCUGGAUUCCCAUGGUGCCCUAAAUGACAUUCAUAUACUAAUACUAUAACCUGGUAGGCUAUUUACCUUCAUUCUUAUUACACACUGAUACCUCUACAUUUUAUAUUUGUGUUACAGAUUCAAAUAUAGGAGAGGAAUUUAGAAAUAGAAAAAGAGUAUUUUGAAUGUGCAAUUUGUGUGCAAUGCAUCAUUGAUGUUUCAAAAUGUUGUUGCUUGAUGGCCUGGGUCUACUCAUGAUACAACUAUAAUUAACCAUUCCGAUUGAAAAGAUGCAUUGGUGUUUGUAAAAGAAGACUCCCUGUAUAUCAUUGAAAA